rnacentral:sRNA from 1 species
AAGUUGAAAUGGUGACUAAAUAUUAUCAACAGGACGAGGGAGAAAUAACCCUCACAGGAUGCAGAAUUUAUCCUCACAGAUCUGUAUCUUGACCG